rnacentral:rRNA from 1 species
GGCCCAGAUCGUUUACCGUGAAAAAAUUAGAGUGUUCAAAGCAGGCAGACCAUUUCUUCUGCCACCGAAUACAUUAGCAUGGGAUAAUGGAAUAGGACCCUGUCCUCCUAUUUUGCGUGUUGGUUUUCGAGGACCGGGUAAUGAUUAAUAGGGAUAGUUGGGGGCAUUAAUAUUUAAUUGUCAGAGGUGAAAUUCUUGGAUUUAUGAAAGAUUGACUUCUGCGAAAGCAUCUGCCAAGGAUGUUUUCAUUAAUCAAGAACGAAAGUUAGGGGAUCGAAGACGAUCAGAUACCGUCGUAGUCUUAACCAUAAACGAUGCCGACCAGCGAUUAGGAGACGUUGAAUACAAAACACCACCGUCGGGUCGGCCGUCCUUGGCCGUCGUGCGCGGCGACGCGCGCGGCGGCGAGGGCGGUGUCUGCCCGACGGCCCGGUGAAUGACUCCCCUAGCAGCUUGUGAGA